AUUGAACGCUGGCGGCAGGCCUAACACAUGCAAGUCGAGCGAGUGGGGACGGGUGCGUAAUGUAUAGGGAUCUGCCCAGUAGAGGGGGAUAACUACUGGAAAGAGUGGCUAAUACCGCCUACUAUUGUAGCGGCCGAGAUCGGAUGAGCUAGUUGGUGUGGUAACGGCUCACCAAGGCGACGAUCCCUAGCUGGUCUGAGAGGACGACCAGCCACACGGGGACUGAGACACGGCCCCGACUCCUACGGGAGGCAGCAGUGGGGAAUUUUGGACAAGGGGGGAAAGCCUGAUGCAGCCAUGCCGCGUGUGCGAUGAGGGCCUUCGGGUUGUAAAGUACUUUCAGUAGGAAGGCGUUACCUACAGAAUAAGCACCGGCUAACUCCGUGCCAGCAGCCGCGGUAAUAC
rnacentral:rRNA from 1 species